ACACUGUGACAAGGUAUUCUAGGCUUCUGUGACUGGAGAAAUUGGGCAUAGUGGACCUUUUAGUUGUUGCAUCACCAGUCAGAGCUUCAUGUUGGAGUGGGGCAGAGAAUGAUUUUCUUAAAAAGAUGCCAUUAAAUUUGAGCUACAUUUUUACCAGAAGGCAUGUGGGAGUCUCAAGCCUAGAUUUGAUGUUUCCUUGAUUUUAAGCCCUUUUUUGUUCUGAGUUUGACAUUUUGAUGACAGACAAAAGUAGCGCUAUGCAUAGUCUUGCUAAUAACAUCUACAGAAGCCUAUAACUUUUUCAAGUUGUCACGGUUCUCUUGGUGGCUUCCCUCACUAGUUUUGUCCUUGUGCAGUAGCUCAGUUUUUGCGAACUGUCUGCAUCAGACACAUUUAUCUUACAGUACCGUACUAUCUGUACUUAAUUAAUGAUGAUAAUCAAAUCUAAGACAUUCACUGACAUGAAAAUGUUCACAUCCAUCCCCGUAUUUGGAAAAUGAAACUUGUAUAUGUAAUAACAUGACAUGUAAUAAAUUAGAAUUUUGCAAAACUGGUUAAAUUGCAUUUACUUCUGAAUACAUUUUCUAUUCUUAAAAUUCAGGGUUGCCAACAAUUCUGAUCUGGACUGUUUGUGUGUGCAGUCACAACCCAUCUGUUAACUAUUUGAUACCAGGACUGAGACCAAAUAGUUUUCUAAGACUCUUCAGUCUCGUUUAAUGUGUAAUUCAAACACGUUGCUGCAGUGAGACUCACAAGCACUUUUUUAAAGCUAUUUUUUAUUGUGUUCCUUCAGUUUGUUUGUAUCAAUACUAUAAAAAUGUCUUCCUCUCUGGGACCCAGUAUCUUUCAAAUAUGUUGCCAGUUGUUAUCGCUUUAGCUGUGGCUCAGGGUCACUCAGAUUGUGUGUAACAACCGUUAACUAAAGGAUAUUACUGUAGACUGUUUGGACGUCAUUGCUUUGGAUUUAAUUUUGCAUUUGGAAACGUAAAUCCUACAUGAGUCCCCAGAAAGGAAUGCAUGUCUCACAACCCACAAAGAAAUAACUUGGCUGUGGAUCUUGAACUCUACCACUCUUUGAAUGCACCACUGUUAAAUAAAUGUGCCAUUUUUUUUUUUAAGUAGAUGACUGUGCAGUAGGUCAGCUCAGUUACUCGCAUUUUACUUCUUAACAACUGAAAAUAUAACUGGAGCACAUUAAGUUGAACUAAGUGCAUGUAAUGGUCUUUAAGAACGAUACACAUUAGUGCUCAGUGGUGAAAGCUUUCCAGGAAUUAUACCAACUACACUUACACCACGUGUGGGCAGGUUACCGCAGUUAGCAACCUCUUUAAUGUGGCACAUGGGUAGUGAGAUGUGCCACGUCAAAUAAAAAAAAAAAAAAAAAAAAACCCUGUGUAGGAAUUCCAGCAAUUCCUGGAAGGCCUUCAUGGCUGCUUCUACAGUGCAAACACAUUUCAAACUGACAUUGGUUGAAAGGCCUUUUCUCAGAGUUCAUGUAGCACCUGAAACAUUGAGUUGAUAUGUUUGGGGUUUUGUGUGUAAAUUAUAGCUUUAUUUUAGUUCAGACCACUGACUAAACACUAUUUCUUUGUGUGUAGAAGGGAAUCAUUCACAUUUCAGAGGCACUAUGGCCCAUGUCAAUAUUUUCAAUAAUGUGUCACUUAACAUGGAGUUGUACAGGUUCCAGCAGGGUGCUGCCCAC